rnacentral:rRNA from 1 species
ACGGGUGAGUAACACGUGGGUAACCUGCCCUGUACUCUGGGAUAAGCCCUGGAAACGAGGUCUAAUACCGGAUACGACCACUUGACGCAUGUCUUGUGGUGGAAAGUUCCGGCGGUAUGGGAUGGACCCGCGGCCUAUCAGCUUGUUGGUGGGGUAAUGGCCUACCAAGGCGACGACGGGUAGCCGGCCUGAGAGGGUGACCGGCCACACUGGGACUGAGACACGGCCCAGACUCCUACGGGAGGCAGCAGUGGGGAAUAUUGCACAAUGGGCGAAAGCCUGAUGCAGCGACGCCGCGUGAGGGAUGACGGCCUUCGGGUUGUAAACCUCUUUCAGCAGGGACGAAGCGCAAGUGACGGUACCUGCAGAAGAAGCACCGGCUAACUACGUGCCAGCAGCCGCGGUAAUACGUAGGGUGCGAGCGUUGUCCGGAAUUAUUGGGCGUAAAGAGCUCGUAGGCGGUUUGUCGCGUCGGCCGUGAAAACUUGGGGCUUAACUCCAAGCUUGCGGUCGAUACGGGCAGACUUGAGUUCGGCAGGGGAGACUGGAAUUCCUGGUGUAGCGGUGAAAUGCGCAGA